rnacentral:rRNA from 1 species
UUGGCGAGGUAACGGCUCACCAAGGCAAAGACGGGUAGCUGGUCUAAGAGGAUGGUCAGCCACACUGGGACUGAGACACGGCCCAGAGUCCUACGGGAUGCAGCAGCCAGGAAUAUUGCGCAAUGGAGGAAACUCUGACGCAGCGACGCCGCGUGGGUGAUGAAGGCCUUCGGGUCGUAAAGCCCUGUCGGAGGGGAAGAAAAGCUUGUUGGCUAAUAUCCAGCGAGCCCUUGACGGUACCCUCAAAGGAAGCACCGGCUAACUCCGUGCCAGCAGCCGCGGUAAGACGGAGGGUGCAAGCGUUGUUCGGAUUGACUGGGCGUAAAGGGCGUGUAGGCGGUUGGUUAAGUCGGGUGUGAAAGCCCGGGGCUCAGCUCCGGAAGUGCGCCCGAAACUGGCCAGCUGGAGCGCGGUAGAGGAGGGUGGAAUUCCUGGUGU